UGAGCAAUCUGCCCUUCUCAUCGGGAAUAAGCGUUGGAAGACGCUAUANCGAC
rnacentral:rRNA from 1 species